rnacentral:rRNA from 1 species
ACGAACGCUGGCGGCAUGCCUAACACAUGCAAGUCGAACGAGACCUUCGGGUCUAGUGGCGCACGGGUGCGUAACGCGUGGGAACCUGUCCUAGGUUCGGAAUAACUCCCCGAAAGGGGUGCUAAUACCGGAUAAUGUCUUCGGACCAAAGAUUUAUCGCCUUUGGAUGGGCCCGCGUUGGAUUAGCUAGUUGGUAGGGUAAAAGCCUACCAAGGCGACGAUCCAUAGCUGGUCUGAGAGGAUGAUCAGCCACACUGGGACUGAGACACGGCCCAGACUCCUACGGGAGGCAGCAGUGGGGAAUAUUGGACAAUGGGCGAAAGCCUGAUCCAGCAAUGCCGCGCGAGUGAUGAAGGCCUUAGGGUUGUAAAGCUCUUUUACCCGGGAUGAUAAUGACAGUACCGGGAGAAUAAGCUCCGGCUAACUCCGUG